rnacentral:rRNA from 1 species
AGUGAAAUCCCUUAGUAACGAAGCUAACGCGUGAAGUUGACCGCCUGGGGAGUACGGUCGCAAGAUUAAAACUCAAAGGAAUUGACGGGGACCCGCACAAGCGGUGGAUGAUGUGGAUUAAUUCGAUGCAACGCGAAAAACCUUACCUACCCUUGACAUGUCCGGAAUCCUGCAGAGAUGCGGGAGUGCUCGAAAGAGAACCGGAACACAGGUGCUGCAUGGCUGUCGUCAGCUCGUGUCGUGAGAUGUUGGGUUAAGUCCCGCAACGAGCGCAACCCUUAUCAUUAGUUGCUACGCAAGGGCACUCUAAUGAGACUGCCGGUGACAAACCGGAGGAAGGUGGGGAUGACGUCAAGUCCUCAUGGCCCUUAUGGGUAGGGCUUCACACGUCAUACAAUGGUCGGUACAGAGGGUUGCCAAGCCGCGAGGUGGAGCCAAUCCCAGAAAGCCGAUCGUAGUCCGGAUUGUUCUCUGCAACUCGAGAGCAUGAAGUCGGAAUCGCUAGUAAUCGCGGAUCAGCAUGUCGCGGUGAAUACGUUCCCGGGUCUUGUACACACCGCCCGUCACACCAUGGGAGUGGAAUCUGGCAGAAGUAGGUAGCCUAACCGCAAGGAGGGCGCUUACCACGCUGGGUUUCAUGACUGGGGUGAAGUCGUAACAAGGUAACC